AUUGAACGCUGGCGGCAGGCCUAACACAUGCAAGUCGAGCGGAUGAAGGGAGCUUGCUCCUGGAUUCAGCGGCGGACGGGUGAGUAAUGCCUAGGAAUCUGCCUGGUAGUGGGGGAUAACGUCCGGAAACGGGCGCUAAUACCGCAUACGUCCUGAGGGAGAAAGUGGGGGAUCUUCGGACCUCACGCUAUCAGAUGAGCCUAGGUCGGAUUAGCUAGUUGGUGGGGUGAAGGCCUACCAAGGCGACGAUCCGUAACUGGUCUGAGAGGAUGAUCAGUCACACUGGAACUGAGACACGGUCCAGACUCCUACGGGAGGCAGCAGUGGGGAAUAUUGGACAAUGGGCGAAAGCCUGAUCCAGCCAUGCCGCGUGUGUGAAGAAGGUCUUCGGAUUGUAAAGCACUUUAAGUUGGGAGGAAGGGCAGUAAGUUAAUACCUUGAUGUUUUGACGUUACCAACAGAAUAAGCACCGGCUAACUUCGUG
rnacentral:rRNA from 1 species